rnacentral:rRNA from 1 species
GUGGGGAAUAUUGCACAAUGGGCGAAAGCCUGAUGCAGCGACGCCGCGUGAGGGAUGACGGCCUUCGGGUUGUAAACCUCUUUCAGCAGGGAAGAAGCGCAAGUGACGGUACCUGCAGAAGAAGCACCGGCUAACUACGUGCCAGCAGCCGCGGUAAUACGUAGGGUGCGAGCGUUGUCCGGAUUUAUUGGGCGUAAAGAGCUCGUAGGCGGCUUGUCGCGUCGGAUGUGAAAGCCCGGGGCUUAACUCCGGGUCUGCAUUCGAUACGGGCAGGCUAGAGUGUGGUAGGGGAGAUCGGAAUUCCUGGUGUAGCGGUGAAAUGCGCAGAUAUCAGGAGGAACACCGGUGGCGAAGGCGGAUCUCUGGGCCAUUACUGACGCUGAGGAGCGAAAGCGUGGGGAGCGAACAGGAUUAGAUACCCUUGUAGUCC